rnacentral:lncRNA from 1 species
GAAAUGCUUGGUGCUGAAGACCUGAAGAAUUGAAAACACUUCCUCACAAAAUCCUUGACAAUAUCAGAAAGUCCAUUUUUCUAUGGUGGGAGGGACCACGGCAAAGCAGGAACGGAGCAGCCAUCACCCACCACAUGACCAACAGGCAUCUCGGAUUUCCCAGAACAGCAUAACCCCGCUCCUGUGCUGCAGAGAAGAUGUAGCACUGGGAAUUGCCCUUGAAGGCUGGAGCGUAGUCACCAGUGGCCAGGGUGCACCACUGGAGGGAGGAGGACAGCAACACCAGGACUGCAACAAGUGGAAAAUGAUGGCAUGGAACCCUCUUGGGAGACUUGUCCUUGCACCUGGUUUGCAAUGAAGGGGCUUCUGGCUUAAGGAAGAGGCUGUGGCGUGCUGCUGGCUGUGACACUUGGACAGCACUUCCCCAUGGGCAUGCUGGGGCACUGAGGCACUGUGCUAAGCAAUGGUGCAGUGUAUUUUCCCACUAACAGAGCUGUCCUAGCAUGGAACAAGUAUUGCCCUGUACUCCGUGUUCAUCUCAAAUGACAGGAACAGGAUGCCCAAAGUGCGGGUUUCACAAAGGGCAGGACCUUGGGCUUUGCUUUCUGAGCUCUUUUGAUGUUUUCACACAUGGUUUGUGGGACUUCUUUGACUCCUGCUUGCUGUUCUGUCCUCUGAUUAACUAACGAGACAUAUGAUGAAGCCAUGACAUGCACAUGAAAUGGCAGGGCCACCGAGCACUUCAGCAUGGCAUUGCCCUCAGGCACACUGAAAGCAGCAGGAGUGUGGCAAGCUUUCAUAGAUAAUGUGCUAACAUACAUUGAAAUAUGAACAACAAAUUCCCUUCCCCUGCAUUUAAAAGUGUGUUGUCUGGUGCUCAUCCUACACUGGACUUUACCUCUGCCUCACCAAAUCAGUGCAAUUACUUACAUUUUACAGCAACAAAGGUGAACUUUUCAGCUAAAAGAGAAAAGGCUUAAACAAAGCCUAGAUAAUAACAUGCUAGUUUUAUAGCAAGACAGAGCACAAGUUUUCUCAGUGAUAGAUUUCACUAGUCAACUUCUGAACAGCAAGUGGUAACACCAGCUGCCUGCUACAAGUAGCAAAAUUAGAUGGAUGAUCCCUUUAUCUCCUGUCUCCUGUUAACACUCCUCAGGGAUCAAUGACUUUUUAAACUCAGUGGCUUGCAGAUGUGCCCUGACUGUUUAUCUAAAGGCCUUCAGGCUGCAUUUGGCCUCUGGAGAGGCAGAAAUUGCUGGGGACUGUGCCUUGGAUGAGCUCUCCCACACAGAAAAGUGCAUGGUCAGACUAUGGGCUAGGUCCAUCCACAGCAAAGUGGGAGUCAGCAAGCCUCCCCU